UUGGGUCAUACCACCCGGAACAGGCCUGAUCUCCCCUGCUCUCAGAAGCUAAGCAGGGUUGAGCCUGGUUAGUACUUGGAUGGGAGGACUAGAGUGCCUACCUGCAGGAAGUACCCAUU
rnacentral:rRNA from 10 species